UACGUAGGGACCAAGCGUUGUCCGGAAUCAUUGGGCGUAAAGAGCGUGUAGGCGGCCUGUUAAGUCUUGCGUGAAAUCUCGGGGCUCAACCCCGAGCGGUCGUGAGAAACUGGCAGGCUAGAGUGCGGAAGAGGAGAAUGGAAUUCCCGGUGUAGCGGUGAAAUGCGCAGAUAUCGGGAAGAACACCCGUGGCGAAGGCGGUUCUCUGGGACGGUACUGACGCUGAGACGCGAAAGCGUGGGGAGCGAACAGG
rnacentral:rRNA from 1 species